rnacentral:pre_miRNA from 1 species
AUGUAAUCAGUCUUUGAAUAGGGAGAAAUUACUUUAAAAGAAACAAGUCUUAGUUUUCCUUUCAAGUCAAGAACAUUGU